CCUACGGGAGGCUGCAGUCGAGAAUCAUUCACAAUGGGGGAAACCCUGAUGGUGCGACGCCGCGUGGGGGAAUGAAGGUCUUCGGAUUGUAAACCCCUGUCAUGUGGGAGCAAAUUAAAAAGAUAGUACCACAAGAGGAAGAGACGGCUAACUCUGUGCCAGCAGCCGCGGGAAUACAAAGGUCUCAAGCGUUGUUCGGAACCACUGGGCGUAAAGCGUGCGUAGGCUGUUUCGUAAGUCGUGUGUGAAAGGCGCGGGCUCAACCCGCGGACGGCACAUGAUACUGCGAGACUAGAGUAAUGGAGGGGGAACCGGAAUUCUCGGUGUAGCAGUGAAAUGCGUAGAUAUCGAGAGGAACACUCGUGGCGAAGGCGGGUUCCUGGACAUUAACUGACGCUGAGGCACGAAGGCCAGGGGAGCGAAAGGGAUUAGAUACCCUUGUAGUC
rnacentral:rRNA from 1 species